UAUUAGCACCCGUAGCCCAUACUUUGCUCCACGGUUUAAAACCGUCGGGGAAAGCCCUUUAUAAUAAAACGCGCGACAAACCCUCUACAUUUCAGAUCACGUUUUCCCUCUUAUUUGCUCCAAACCCUCUCAUUUGCCCCAAACCACGGUAAGACUCUCUCUCGUUCUUUAUCAUCGAUUUCACUCACAACUCUCUCUCUCUCUCUUACGGCGACGCAGCUCUGCCACCACCGGCGACGCACCACUGCCACCUCUCCACUGCCGAGAGCCACUCCGCCGAGCGCCACCAUCGUGUAUCGGCUCUGUUGCGUUGAUUCAAGAUUACACAAGUAGCUAGCUUUAUUGGAGAAAGGGUAAGAGCAAUCUGUACUCAAAUAACGAGAUGAAUAUUCUGCGUGAUCAGUGGAUUGAAUAGGCCCGAGCACACGCAGGGCGACAAGGGCUAUUAUGAUGAUUAGUUUUUAUGUUUGUUUAUACUUUACACUAUAACCAGUUACUUUCAUAUAACUAAAGAUUAAUUCAUAUUUAUACUUUAUGUUUGAGUACGUAGUUUGUAUAUAUUUCAAUUUUUGUUAAUUUUUAAUUUAUGUUUAUACUUUAUCUUAACUAAUUAGUGACAAUGUAUAAAUUAGUAAAAAUUAAUUA